rnacentral:rRNA from 1 species
UUCGGGGUGCCCAGGCGCGAAAACUUUACAAUGCUGGAAACAGCGAUAAGGGGACCUCGAGUGCCAGGUUACAAAUCUGGCUGUCGUGAUGCCUAAAAAGCAUUGCAUAGCAAGGGCCGGGCAAGACCGGUGCCAGCCGCCGCGGUAACACCGGCGGCUCGAGUGGUAACCGUUAUUAUUGGGUCUAAAGGGUCUGUAGCCGGCCGGAUAAGUCUCUUGGGAAAUCCAGCAGCUCAACUGUUGAGCUUUCAGGAGAUACUGUCUGGCUCGAGGCCGGGAGAGGUGAGAGGUACUUCAGGGGUAGGGGUGAAAUCUUGUAAUCCUUGAAGGACCACCAGUGGCGAAGGCGUCUCACCAGAACGGACCUGACGGCAAGGGACGAAAGCUAGGGGCACGAACCGGAUUAGAUACCCGGGUAGUCCUAGCCGUAAACGAUACUCGCUAGGUGUCGGCCACGGUGCGACCGUUGUCGGUGCCGUAGGGAAGCCGUGAAGCGAGCCACCUGGGAAGUACGGCCGCAAGGCUGAAACUUAAAGGAAUUGGCGGGGGAGCAC